rnacentral:lncRNA from 1 species
AAAAGUGAAAUAAAUAAUUAAAAGGCAGAGACAUACCCCACCGGAAGGUGCCCGAAUGCUCCAGAAAGAGAAUCCUCACCUCCUAACUUCUUUUUCUCUUUCCUUUUUAUUUUUCUUUCUUUUUUUUUUUUUUUAAUAAAUUUACACAGUCUUGUCGCUCCCGUUAUCCCCAAAUAUCCAACGUCCCCAUCUGCUACGCCAUGCUCCCGAAAACCAAACACUUUCUUAGAGAGAGACAAAUGUUUAGGAAGCUGACAAAGACCGAAAAAGAAACCGACAGAAAAAUGGAAAAUGAGCUCUACAAUAGUCGAGUUUGUUCAACGGAUAAAAGCACACCCGGUCCAAAACCAACAGCAAUAAUCUCUGUGAUGUCCUUCCCCCAAAACAAGAUUCACCCUCAGAUAAACUUGCCCAACUUAACACUGAUGACCAUUUUAACUUAAACCAACGACAAACGUGACACCCUCCCAGUCCACGCUACGAUUAAUAACCGACUGUGUCACCCAGGCAAACAAAACCCUUCGGGAUGAUUUUUCCCCCACCUACCCAACAUCUCUCUCAGACUUUUCGCAGCUUUAGGUAAGAGUUCACCCCUCAAUAGCAGCCCCUCAAAAAAUGCCAUCAGCAGAGAGUGGUGAGCGGCCGCGUCAAUGCCCGCCGCUUUGGGAGGGCUGUGUGCUCACCACAGAACAAUUGCGUGCAGGAAAAAAUAUGGGAGGAACAAUUAAUAUUUAGAAAAAAGAAAUAAUUUUUCCAAACUGUCUUCAAUGAAGCGUUGAACUGUUUGGCCACGGAAAGGUGGACAGAGCUUGAAAAAGCAGAACGCUGAAAGUACCCUUUUUAAAAACAAUGUGGUGGUUGUAGCCUGGGUUUCUCCUCCCCGGUGCUUUGGUUUUUCUGCCACUGAUCUCACACCUCAUCUUUUUUUAUUGUUUUCUUUAAGAGGGGGAAAAAUGAGAUUUUUUUGUUUGUUUGUUUUUACAAAAGGCAUCCUCAGAGAGACCUGCUUAAAUCUGUUACUUCCUAGCUACAAAGGACUGCAAUUAAAAUAAAUUUAAAGAGUAAGCAAAAGGCAAGUCACCUGCAAAGCACCAGAGUCAGUGCCCUUAGGGAAAAAAAAUUGGAAGAAAAAAAAAGAAAAAAAGUGGGUAUUCCACAUACAUCUUGCACGAAGAAAGCAUUGAACCAACCUCUAAGGUCACUUACUGCCUGAAAACCCUCAGCAGCAGCUCACGGUGGAAGUUUUCAGGCAAGACGGCUACUAAAUCAUUAAUACAAACAAAUGGAAGGCGGGGAGGAAAGGCGCUACUGUAAUAGAUCCGAAGUCUUGGAGGAGGAAAAAAAUAUUAAAGCAAAAAAAAAUAAAACUUUCAUCUUCAGCCUCUCUUCGUUCCUCAUUAAUAAUUUUUCGGAAAAGAAAACCUUAAGCUUCAGUCAAACAAGAGGCUCUCUCUAAGCGUCUCGCUGCCGUAAUUCAGCGUAGUGCCUUCUUCUUUUUCACGAGGCCCCCCCGUUUUUCACUCCGAAGAGCCCCGCCGCAGGAAGAGCGGAUACCCAAAAAGUCGGGCAGAGCAGCCGGGGCCGGAACGUCCCGGGGCCGGGGUAGCCAGGCAGCGCCCAGCCCCGCCGGGGCGGCCGGGAAGGAAAAAGCCGCUCCCCGGCACUUCUCUGACGGGGGACAGCGGGAACCCGUCCGUGGAGCUACCGGCCGGGCAGCGCCCGCUGUGCCGAGCCAAGCCGAG